rnacentral:rRNA from 1 species
AUUGAACGCUGGCGGCAGGCCUAACACAUGCAAGUCGAGCGGAGCGGCGGACGGGCGGGUAAGGCCUGGGAAGCUGACUGGUAGUGGGGGAUGACGUACGGAAGCAGGCGCUAAUACCGCACACUAUCAGAUGAGCCUACGUGGGAGUAGCUAGUUGGUGGGGUAAAGGCCCACCUAGGCGACGAUCCCUAGCUGGUCUGAGAGGAUGAUCAGCAACACUGGAACUGAGACACGGUCUAGACUCCUACGGGAGGCAGCAGUGGGGAAUAUUGGACAAUGGGCGAAAGCCUGAUCCAGCCAUGCCGCGUGUGUGAAGAAGGUCUUCGGGUUGUAAAGCACUUUAAGUUGGGAGGCGUUACCAACAGAAUAAGCACCGGCUAACUUCGUGCCAGCCGCCGCGGUAAUAC